rnacentral:rRNA from 1 species
CCUACGGGGGGCAGCAGUGGGGAAUAUUGCGCAAUGGGCGAAAGCCUGACGCAGCGACGCCGCGUGAGGGAUGAAGGUCUUCGGAUCGUAAACCUCUGUCAGCAGGGAAGAACGGUCACUGUGCUAAUCAGCAGUGAAUUGACGGUACCUGCAUAGGAAGCACCGGCUAACUCCGUGCCAGCAGCCGCGGUAAUACGGAGGGUGCGAGCGUUAAUCGGAAUUACUGGGCGUAAAGCGCGCGUAGGCGGUAUGUCAAGUCAAGGGUGAAAUCCCAGGGCUCAACGUUGGAACGGCCUUUGAUACUAGAAAACUAGAGUGUGAGAGAGGAUAGUAGAAUUCCAGGUGUAGGAGUGAAAUCCGUAGAUAUCAGGAGGAACACCAGUGGCGAAGGCGACUAUCUGGCUCAAAACUGACGCUGAGGUGCGAAAGCGUGGGUAGCAAACAGGAUUAGAUACCCGGGUAGUC